rnacentral:lncRNA from 1 species
UUUUAGUGAUAUCACUAAACCUAUAAAAAGCAGAUGACACGCAUCUGCCGAAAAAGCAACAGCACCUACUUCAAAGUUGGAAGUUAUCUUAAGAGGAUUGUGGUCAGAGAAAACAAUUUAAUAUGUGCAGCUGUGGAAAGGUUUAUUUAUACAUCAUUCUUUGAAGUGACUUUUCAUUUAGAUUAAAUGUCUGUUCUUCUAAAUUAAUUUCAACCAUUUUCAGUACCAACAUUUCUUGUGCAUGUGCAAAGCCAUGCUGAACUGUUGGCUCCAUUAACAAUGUUUGGUAAGGGACUUAUAUUUGGGAAACAUAAAGAAAUUACACAACUCAAUAAUAAAAAGACAAAUAACACCAAUAAAAAAUGGGUGAAGUAUCUGAAUGGGCAUUUCUUCAAAAAAGAUAUCCAGAUGGCCAGUAAGCACAUGAAAAGAUGCUCAGCAUCAUUAACCAUCAAGGAAAUGCAAAUCAAAGCCACAAUGAGAUACCAUUCCAUAUUCAUUAGGAUGGCUAUAAUUAAGACAGAUAAUACAUGUUAGUGAGGAUGUAGAGAAAUUUGAGUUCUCAUACACUGCUGGUGGAAAUGUAAAAUGGUACAGUUGCUUUGGAAAAGAGUGUGGCCAUUUUUUAAAAGGUUAUAA